AGGUCUCCUCGGCACUCCUUCCCCGGGCUGCAGUCUACACCGAACCACGGCAGCUCCAUUCGCUGCUGUAACAAGUUGAAAAAAAACUAAUUAAUUCAGACUUUAGUUUUUUUUAAAUUUGUUACAGCGCUGAGCAGAGCUGCCGACCCCAUGCAGAAACAGCACACAGACCAACAAAGGCUCCACUAGGUGCAGAAAACCCUCUGCCCCCAGCCAGACCCGGUCCAGUGAAGACUACAGAACCCAGGCAUGUCAGUCACAAGGACUUUAAAAUGCUAAAGUAUCACUAAAAACAACAACAACGAAACAAAACAAGAAAGGAAGAAAGAAAGAAAAAGAAAGAAAGAAAGAGAAAGAAAGAAGAAAAGGAAAAAAGAAAGAAAAGGAAGACUGACGAAGACCAAAGAAAGCAUUAGAUAAAACCAAGCAAAAGAACACAGGACCCAUAGAGAUUUAAAAGACAUUCAUUGUUCAAAUAAGAAUUCAAAUGAUAAAUAAAUAAGAACUCAAAUGAGAUUCAUACACAGAGGUCAAAGGAGGUCAGACAUUUCCCUAAGGGUUAGGUCACUAAGGAUACAGACAAAAUAACAUUUAUUAAUAUGUAAUAGUUUUUUCUAACUGUAGGCUUCAAAACACAAUGCUAAUUUUGCCCUUCAUUUUUAAAAAGAAAAAGCACAUGUAGACAUGUACACAAGAGCAUAAACACUCCAGUGCAAGCAAGCAAGCAAGCAAGCGUGUGUGUGCACAUGCACACACACACACACACACACACACACACACACACUAAUGCAUAUGCACCACAGGCUUUAUCCUUGAAUUUGAGGGGGUUAUAAAAUUGAUUUUGCUCUUUAAUUUUUUGAGGGUGUUUCAGAUUUUUAUUCCUUGCAUUUUGACCUACCUCUUCAAAGAGAAAAAAGAUUUGAGCUUCUAUGAAAAUAAAGCAAACCAAAGAAUAAUUAUUAUUAUUCAUGGUCAAGUUGGUAAAUUAGCCUGUUCUAAUGACAUGUGCUUACUAUGGCCAUGUGACCCUACAGAUUUGAGGGCUGAUCCUAUUAUUCAAAGUUGUUCAACACAUAUUUGCUUAGGUAAAAAAAAAAAAAAUCAAUGCAUGACCAAUAUUUAAACGUGAGCCAAAAAGCAAUAGAGAAAUAUGAAAUACACAUUCCCUUAUCAACUAGUAAGUGGUUUUAUACUAAAUGCAUAUUAUUAUACCAUUAUGAAUGAAGGGCUCUAUAUAAAUUACACAAAGACUUAUCUGCAUCAUAUCUGCCUAUACUUUGCAAACUCAACCAUCACCUGUAUAUCACUGAGGCUGGGCAUUACUCUUAUAAGUCUCCUCGGCAAAUCUCCCUUCCUCACCAUCAUAACCAAUAUAGGCAUGUUAACAUAGUUCAGAAUAUUCUUGUGAUUACCCCAGAAAAUAAGGGAAUGGAGUAAUGUAUUACAGGCUGGCUGUGAAGUUUUCUUUUGCCCUCCUUCUACAGUUGCCUCUACCUAUAGCACUACAAGAUGGAGAGAAAUGUCUGGCUUUGAAGAAAUAAAAUAGUUUGUAAGCAAAAUAAAAUCUCUAGUGCCUUGUUCUGUGACAUUCAAAGCAAGGGUAUAGGACCUGAUUUACUGCCCCACUUCAACAUUCCCGACAGUAAAAAGGAAUGGGGUAGAGCAAUGACACCCAUUCUGGCUAACCUAAACAUCUCAUUCCUACUCACAGAAAAGGUAGAGCCUCCUGUCCUAGAAAGCAAAACAGAAACAACCUCCCAUCCCAUACGCACAGCUUCUUGAGAAAUCCCCAAAACAGCAGAUCAAGAGCACUACAGAAGCAGUUGCUUUAUUACCUGUCUCUACAUGGGAUAUAGUAACCUUGACUAACAAGCAACAGCUUUUACUUACAGUAAUCAUUCUUUAAACAUAACAUUACAACUGAAGAAGCUAGUUUUCAUGUUAAUUGUAAUGCUACAUAAUCCAUCUUGUCUCUGACUGAGACAAAACUCCCAAAUCACCACCUGCUAAAUUAAAGAGAAGACAAGCACAUAGGAAAAUGAAAAUGAGUAAGAACAAAUAGGGGCCGCAUGUGGAGAGCCCCAGUAAAGAGGACCUCAUUUGGGUCUCAGGAAAGAUGCUAUCUUUGCACUUUUCCAUACUGCCUAUGUCCAGAUUGAGUAGUUGCUUUGAUAAUCCUACUAUCAAAUUCUAGUCCAGGUAAAAACAGAAUCAUUUCACAUGUUGAUUAUACCCAAAAUUCAGCUCAAGUUUCAUUAAUUUCUCAUCUGAAUACUUGAAGGCGAGAGAGGACUCUUCCUUGAUGUUUACUAUAGAUCAAUUUCAAAGGAAACGAACUUUGAAUUCUACCUUACUUCAGAGUUGGUAUUAUUUUGGAAAGUUCUGGUUGCUUUCAGGCUAACAAGAUCUAAGGACAUUUUCUCCCCAGCUCUGAAUUCUCUCCUAGACUAAAAAACAAACAAACAAACAAAAAACAACUGAGCAUCGCCAUUGAGGAUACUGAAGAAUUGCAGGUGACCACCACCCCCAGAAACUGGAAGAGUGAAGGAAGAAGACACUACAGAAGGAUAUCUACCUGUCACAGUAGCCACACAGGGAUGAGCAAACAGUCAUGUAGGCCAAUGGAAAUUCUCUGGUCUGUGCUUUUAAAAAGCUUCGGUAGCUGACAUCCUGGCCCAUUAUUAAUAAACUAUGUCACAUGCAAAGCUA